UGGCGAACGGGUGAGUAACGCGUGAGGAACCUGCCUCAAAGAGGGGACGAACAGUUGGAAACGACUGCUAAUACCGCAUAAGCCCACGGGUCGGCAUCGACCUGAGGGAAAAGGAGCAAUCCGCUUUGAGAUGGCCUCGCGUCCGAUUAGCUAGUUGGUGAGGUAACGGCCCACCAAGGCGACGAUCGGUAGCCGGACUGAGAGGUUGAACGGCCACAUUGGGACUGAGACACGGCCCAG
rnacentral:rRNA from 1 species